rnacentral:rRNA from 1 species
UACAGAGGGGGCAAGCGUUGUUCGGAAUUACUGGGCGUAAAGCGUGCGUAGGCGGUCCUCCAAGUCCGCUGUGAAAGCCCCGGGCUUAACCUGGGAAUUGCAGUGGAAACUAUGGGACUUGAAUCUGGCAGAGGGGGGUGGAAUGCCACGUGUAGCAGUGAAAUGCGUAGAGAUGUGGCGGAACACCGAUGGCGAAGGCAGCCCCCUGGGCUGAGAUUGACGCUCAGGCACGAAAGCGUGGGGAGCAAACAGG